CUGGCGUCCACAGGUGGGGAGAGAACAGCGCUCCCAGAAGCCGGAUGAAAGGAGUCGCUCCGGGUCACGAGCUUGGCAUUUCCCAGCUCCGCCUCCGUGUCCACUCACCUCCAAGGUCAGCCUCUGCAGAGCCACACAACCCGCGGGAGGGACCCCUCCAGGCCCCAGGGGGCUGGCAAGGAGGACUGGGAUGGGACAGCAGCCACCGUGUGGUACAGAAGUGAAUCCUGUGGCCCCCACCUGUCUGGGAGCGAGUCUGGGCUCUGCCGGUGUGAUGCUGGGUGAGAAAACAGGCCCAGAGAAGGUGGGUCCUUGCCCAGGCUCACACAGCUACGGAGCAGUAGAAGCUGGCAUUUGAAACUGAGCCCCAAGACAGAUUCGUGUUGGCAGAUGUAUAAACUGAAUACUGACCCUCCAGAGAGAUCCACGCCCUAAUCCCGGGAACCCCUGUGAAUGUCACCUCCCGAUGGCAAAGGGAUUCUGCAGAUGGGAAGAAGUGAAGGAUCUUGAGAUGGGAACAUUAUCCCCGAUUAUCCAGCUAUAAGUCCCGGGAUCUUCCAGCUCAACCAGCCCAUUUUACUGACGACGUGGAGCCUGAGGCCACAGUUAGGGGUCAACUUGCCCCGUCCCGCCGAGAUGAGUGGCGGGAGGGCGCUGUCUCCUGGCACAUCCUGGGGGUCCUUGCUCUGCUCUUCUGGACUCCAGCCCUGGGCAGCCUGGGCGAAAUCAUCUAGUCCAAACCCAUUUUCCGAGUGAGGAAACUGAGGCCUGGAGUUGUCCGAGAGUUGGACUCGAGUCCCUAAGUGACAGGGGAUGUGCAGGCCCUGAAUCCCCAGGGAGUCCUCUCGGCAAGGCCCUCCCCUCCCCCUCUGGAGCGCCGCUCCUCCCCGUGUAUCCCCAGCAGACAGGGGCCAGCGGGGUCUGGGAAAACCACAUCAGGAGCGGCCCAGCUGUGGUGCAGGAAUUCGAGAGCAGCUCCUUAGUGGCCUUCAGCCUGGGAAAGCUCUGAGGCCUUCCUGUCCCCGCCCGCCUUGCCGCUUAGGGCCAGCCCUGUCCCCAAGGCUGUGAGAAGUCGCCUGGAGGCAGUGUCCAGUGGGGUGGAGGAAAGAGCGGCCUAGAAUGGAGGGACUUGAUCCCCGAUCCUAAGCCAGUUAGUGGCAUUAUCCUGGAUUAUCCUAAACCGAGCUCAGGGCCCUGGGCUUGUCUAGGGGAGCAUAGGUCUCCCUGCCCCCGGCAUGUGGGGGUUCCAGUGGUGCCCUAACACCCAGCGACACAGGCACAGUUCUUACAUAAAGCAUUCACACCCACUGGCACCCUCAGACCUCACAACAACCCUGUAACGGCGAGGCUGCUGCUGUCCCAUUUUACAGAUGGAGAAACUGAGGCUCGGAGAGAGAAAGGGACUCUCCCCAAGUCAAGGUCCUGUGGUGGCAGCACUGGGACUCUGCUAACUCCGUGAGUUCUCGCGAUGACCCUGGACUCGUCUCUGGCAAUUCGGUCCCAGUCUUGCUGUGGGGCCUUGAGUAAUCUCCCUCUCUGAGCCUCGACUCUCCUCUGUGAACUAGGACAUAAUAAUAGUAUCCACCUCAUUGGGGCGCCUGCGGAAUCACCGAGUGCGUGAGCCCCGCGCCUGGCACGCGGUGAGCGCUCCAUCUUCGCUGAGCCUCAUCACCAUCACACUAGCCGAUUGGAUAACCGCAAAUACUACUGCGCGGGGCCAGGAGCCCAGCACAACACGCCCUGCCCCCGGGGCUGGGGGAAGACGCCAAUAAACACACAGGUCCUGCGGGAGGUGAAGGAACGACCACGAGAGCAAGGAGGGGGCUGCCUGGCGUGUUCAAGCAACACUGAAGAGGCCAGUGUGGUCCUAGGGGGUUAGAGACGCGGCAGUGGCAGGAGGAGAAACCAGAGAGGUGGGGGGUGGGGCAGAGCCACCGACCACGGUGGCCUUUGGGCGGACAUCAGCUUUCCUUGAGCCAAGUGGGGAGCCAUCGCAAGGUGUCCUCAUUGUCCACUAAACGCUCAAAGCCUGAAAUGGGCCCUUAGACCCUGGGUCACUGUCUGAGGAGUGGAAUGGCCACCCGCUAGCUAACCACCCUCCUGCGCCCAGGACCCGCCCACGGCCCCGCCCCCUCCCUGCGAUGCUCCAGAACCCUGAGAAUCAGGUGGUCCUAAAGUGUCAGCGCUCAGAGGGACCUUGGAGGCCAUUUGGCUCCAAUUACAGAUGAAGAAAGGAGGCUGGGGCGCGGAGGGGAAGGGGCUUGUCCGGGGCCUCUCAGCGCAUCCGCGGCUGUGCCAGCUGUGACGCCCAAGGCUCCUGCCUCCUGGAGCAGGGCCCCUCCCGCUGCAGAGCCCUCGGUGAACGGGACGUUUUGUUCUUCUGGCCCAGAUCCAAGGAGUCCCCAGGGACACACUCUGGUUUGCCUUUGCCAAAGGCCUCGCCAGCUAAGGGUCCCUUCUAGGCUGUGGGGCUGCAGCCAUGUCUGGCAGAAGCUGCGCCCUCCUGGGGCCGGCCUCCCGCCUGCACCGGCAUUGAGGAGUCCGCGUGCAUGUGAGGAUGGGCACCCUGUGCAGCUCCUCAUCCCAGGCACCCUGCUCCCAGGGCUUCCAUUCCAAGCACAGACAUCGAAACACAAUAAGCAGCCGCUCACUGCCCACUUCCGGGGUCACCCUGUUGGAGCAAGAAGCUCCUGACCUCUCUCCCCACCCCGUGGAUGUUCAUGGUGGUUCUGUAGCUGCCACUACCGGCUCCUCAGCUGCAGUUCAAGGGGAGGGAACACCAGCCAUUCAUACUCUCUGAUCUUGCAUUCAUUCAUCUCUCUAUCUUCUUGCCCAUUGGUCCAUGCAUUCAUCCAUACACCCACCUGCCCAAUUGCCCCACCCACAUAUCUAGCCUUCCAUCCAUCCAUCCAUCCAUCCAUCCAUCCAUCUAUCCAUCCACUGAUCUGAACAGCCACCAGUCUGUCUGAUUGUUACUGGUCCAUCGUCUCAUCCAUCCAACCCGUCCAUCCAGCCAUCCAUCAAUCCAUCC
rnacentral:lncRNA from 1 species